GCUGGGCGUGGUGGCACAUGCCUGUAAUCCCAGCUACUCAGGAGGCUGAGGCAGGAGAAUCGCUUGAACCCAGGAGACGGAGGUUGCAGUGAGCCAAGAUUGUGCUACUGCACUCCAGCCUGGGCAACAGAGUGAGAUCCUGUCUCAA
ensembl:misc_RNA Metazoa_SRP Metazoan signal recognition particle RNA